UCGUGAGACAGUUCGGUCCCUAUCUGCCGUGGGCGUUGGAAGAUUGAAGGGGGCUGCUCCUAGUACGAGAGGACCGGAGUGGACGAACCUCUGGUGUUCGGGUUGUGUCGCCAGACGCAUUGCCCGGUAGCUAAGUUCGGAAUUGAUAAGCGCUGAAAGCAUCUAAGCGCGAAGCGAGCCCUGAGAUGAGUCUUCCCUGACAGUUUAACUGUCCUAAAGGGUUGUUCGAGACUAGAACGUUGAUAGGCAGGGUGUGUAAGCGUUGUGAGGCGUUGAGCUAACCUGUACUAAUUGCCCGUGAGGCUUAACCAU
rnacentral:rRNA from 1 species